rnacentral:rRNA from 1 species
AGUAAGGCGUAGGGUGGAUACCUAGGCACCUAGAGACGAUGAAGGGCGUGGAACCGACGAAACGCUUCGGGGAGCUGGAAACAAGCAACGAUCCGGAGAUUCCCGAAUAGGGCAACCUUUAGUACUUCUAACUGAAUUCAUAGGUUAGAAAGAGGCAACUCAGUGAACUGAAACAUCUUAGUAGCUGAAGGAAAAGAAAGCAAACGCGAUUCCCUAAGUAGUGGCGAGCGAAAGGGGAACAGCCUAAACCAAGUUAUUAACUUGGGGUCGUGGGAAAACAUUUUAUAAAGUUCACAAAAAAUUUAGACGAAGCAGCUGAAACCUGCACCAUAGAUGGUGAAAGUCCAGUAGUCCAAAAAUUUCACUGAAUUUUCGUUUAUCCCGAGUAGCAUGGGACACGUGAAAUCCCGUGUGAAUCAGCGAGGACCACCUCGUAAGGCUAAAUACUCCUAGGUGACCGAUAGCGAAAUAGUACCGUGAGGGAAAGGUGAAAAGAACCCCUGUAGGGGAGUGAAAUAGAACAUGAAACCCUAUGCCGACAACCAGUGGGAGGUACUUUAGUACUGACCGCGUGCCUGUUGAAGAAUGAGCCGGCGACUUAGAAAACGUGGCAAGGUUAAGGAAACGUAUCCGGAGCCGAAGCGAAAGCAAGUCUGAAUAGGGCGAUGAAGUCAUUUUUUCUAGACCCGAACCCGGGUGAUCUAACCAUGACCAGGAUGAAGCUUGGGUGACACCAAGUGAAGGUCCGAACCGACCGAUGUUGAAAAAUCGGCGGAUGAGUUGUGGUUAGCGGUGAAAUACCAGUCGAACUCGGAGCUAGCUGGUUCUCCCCGAAAUGCGUUGAGGCGCAGCGGUCCAUAAGGCUAUCUAGGGGUAAAGCACUGUUUCGGUGCGGGCUGCGAAAGCGGUACCAAAUCGUGGCAAACUCUGAAUACUAGAUAUGCUAUUUAUGGGCCAGUGAGACGGUGGGGGAUAAGCUUCAUCGUCGAGAGGGAAACAGCCCAGAUCACUAGCUAAGGCCCCAAAAUGAUCAUUAAGUGACAAAGGAGGUGAGAAUGCUGAAACAACCAGGAGGUUUGCUUAGAAGCAGCCACCCUUUAAAGAGUGCGUAAUAGCUCACUGGUGGAGCGUUCUUGCGCCGAAAAUGUCCGGGACUAAAUGAUCUGCCGAAGCUGUGGGAUAUUUAAAAAAAUAUCGGUAGGGGAGCGUUCUGCUGUAGGGUGAAGCGGUUAUGUAAGUAACCGUGGACGAAGCGGAAGUGAGAAUGUCGGCUUGAGUAACGCAAACAUUGGUGAGAAUCCAAUGCCCCGUAAACCUAAGGAUUCCUCCACUAGGUUCGUCCAUGGAGGGUGAGUCAGGACCUAAGGCGAGGCCGAAAGGCGUAGUCGAUGGCAAACAGGUUAAUAUUCCUGUACUAUUUCAUGUUUGGUACCGAGGGACGGAGCAGGCAGAGAUUGGUCGAGAUUGGAUUUCGAUGGAAACUUUCAACAUGUUGAAAGGUAGAAGAAAAACUAACCUUGAGUGAAGAAGUGAUACGUCCACAUCUUUUAGGUGUGGGUCAGUUGACUGUCAUACUUCCAAGAAAAGCUCGAACUACUGUAAAACAUUAAAUACCUGUACCGUAAACCGACACAGGUGGGUUGGUAGAGUAUACCAAGGGGCGCGAGAUAACUCUCUCUAAGGAACUCGGCAAAAUGACCCCGUAACUUCGGGAGAAGGGGUGCCAAGUAACUUCAAUUGCUUGGUCGCAGUGACCAGGCCCUGGCGACUGUUUAUCAAAAACACAGGUCUCCGCAAAGUCGUAAGACAACAUAUGGGGGCUGACGCCUGCCCAGUGCCGGAAGGUUAAAGAAGUUGGUUAUUCAUUUUUGGAGAAGCUGACGACUGAAGCCCCGGUGAACGGCGGCCGUAACUAUAGACUUUUGUAGUUAUAAAAUCUAGCUAUAUGCUGGAAACUCUCGGAAUGCUUUCACUACUCAUUGGCAUGCUUUUUUUUUAAUCCACUGACAAGUUGCCGAUUUCUGCAACGUUCAGCAAAGAAAACUCCAAUAGUGACAAUGUAAAAGAUAGAGACAAUCAGCAGGAAAGGCUUUACAUGACCAAAAUACACCUUAUCAAACACGUUCCCAGAGACAAAGGCUUUUAUAUUGCCGGGUUUGUUGAUGGUGAAGGCUCUUUUUUCUUGUCCGCAAGACCAAGAACCGAUUACCCUACAGGAUGGAAAUUUUCUCCUACUUUUAGUGUAGGAAACAGUGACCUUGUAGUGUUAGAACUGUGUAAACAGUAUCUUGGAUGUGGGAAAAUUCGUGAAACUCGACCAAAGUUUUAUAUUUUAGAAGUUGCAGAUCGUGGCGUACUUGAACGGUUUAUCAUUCCAUUCUUUACACGCUUUCGCUUUCUUUCGACAAAGAAAAAACAGGAAUUUCGGGUUUUUCAAGCAACACUCCACCAAGUGAAGCAAGGAAUUCAUACCCUUCAAGAUCUCGAUGAACUCUUAGCCCUUCGCAAAGAACUUGGGAAACUAAGACAAAAUCGAAUCACACAUACUGAUGACAUGAUACGCAGCACAUUUAGGGUCAAGUAAAGAAUCCUCAGAGACUCUACGCUAGACUUUCAAAAUUGAAAGAUGAUAUAGUCCGAUCUCUAUAGAGAUAUAGAGGCAAGUGUCAAACUUGCGCAACUCUUUUAAAGAGAUUGUUAACAUACAUGAACGGUCCUAAGGUAGCGAAAUUCCUUGUCGGGUGAAAUUUGCCCGAAUGUGUGUGUAAACGCAUAUUAGUAAACCAACUCAUAACGGUGA